rnacentral:lncRNA from 1 species
AGAUGAAUAUGUGAAUCGUAAUACUGGUAUCUUUCAGAAUGUGUAUUCCCUACUCUUUGCAAGAAGACUGAGACUAGAAAUGGUAGCAAUGAAGGAAUAAGAAAAGAUCAUCAAGUAUAAGGAUGUAUCACUGGAGACCAAGACCAAGAUUGCCCACACCCCUUGUACUUCUGGUCACCAUGUGUGGGUGUGAAAGAUGGACAAUAAAGAAAGCUGACAGGAAAAAAAAUUGAUUCAUUUGAGCUUUGCAGUUACCCUGGGCUACCAGAAAGACAAAUAAGAGAGUCAUAGUUUAAAUCAAGCCUGAACUAUCUCUGGAGGCACAAAUGUUGAAACUGAAGCUUUCCUGACUUUGAGCACAUCAUAAAAAGGCAGGAUUCUCUGGAAAAGACAAUUAUGCCGGCAAAUGUGGAAGGCAGCAGGAAAAGAGGAAGACCAAAUAUGAAAUGGAUUGACUCCAAAAGAAAUCACAGGUUUGAGUUUACAAGAGCUGAGCAGGGCUGUGGAAAACAGGACAUUUUUAAAUAGCUCAUUCAUAGGGUCUCCAUAAGUCAGAGGUGACUUGACAGCACAUAACAACAAAAAUAACAAUAACCUUUUUUCUGUACAAUUCUAGACUCAAAGAAGCAUGCAAAAAUGUGAAUCCUGAGGGAAGAGUAUAGAAAAAAUAAUUUUAGGACAUAUUUUGGAUAAAAUGUAUAUUUUAGAGGCAACUGUAUAUUAAAUUCUGAAUGUAUUUUUAUUUUCUUUCUUUUAAAGUCAUAGGCUAACAUGGAAGCAGGACUGAAUAAUUAUGACUCAACACAUAUGAAACUAACAUUGACUAGACGUAGCUAAAUUCUCCCACCUACAGGAAGGAGUCAAGUGGUGAUGUCCAGUUCAUAUCCGGAAGCAACACUUAAAGUCCAAAUGUUUCACAUGGGGCAAAUCACUGUCUAUUCACAAAAAGCAUUCUGUUGCAGCAAAAUGACACAGAAGUCACAUUCAAGUACAUCUAAUCCACCUGUACUCAAAGAUUAGUGUGAAUUCAUGAAUUAUAUCUUUAAACCCCAAUUAAUAGACACUACCACCUAC